GGCCACAUCACGUUGAAACAAUGGUUUCCAUACGAUCACCGAAGUUAAGCAACGUCGACCUUGGUCAGUACCUAGAUUGGUGACCUCUUAAGAAUACCAAGAGCUGUAAG